GAUGAACGCUGGCGGCGUGCCUAAUACAUGCAAGUCGAGCGAAGCGGGGACGGGUGAGUAACACGUGGAUAACCUCCUAUAAGACUGGGAUAACUUCGGGAAAACGGAGCUAAACCGGAUGCUGAUAGCUGGAUCCGCGCUGCAUUAGCUCGUUGGUAAGGUAACGGCUUACCAAGGCAACGAUGCAUAGCCGACCUGCGAGGGGGAUCGGCCACGCGGGAGCUGAGACACGGUCCCGGCUCCGACGGGAGGCAGCAGUAGGGAAUCUUACGCAAUGGGCGAAAGCCUGACGGAUGAACGCCGCGUGAGUGAUGAAGGUCUUCGGAUCGUAAAACUCUGUUAUUAGUGAAGCGGUACCUAAUCAGAAAGCCCCGGCUAACUACGUGCCAGCAGCCGCGGUAAUAC
rnacentral:rRNA from 1 species